rnacentral:snoRNA from 1 species
AAGACUAUACUUUCAGGGAUCAUUUCUAUAGUUCGUUACAAGAUAAUACAGGCGUCUCAUAUGGAUAUUUAUGAAUGUGCACAAAAAUUAAAUAGACAUAAACCCAAACACUAUUAGCCCUGGUAAUGGGAUUCAGGUGACUUUCCACAUUUCCUUUAAGGGAAUGAGUGUGCAUGAAUCAUUCUUA